rnacentral:sRNA from 1 species
AUUCUGCCCAAGCGGGGAAGGAUGAGAAGCUUCGACCAAGGUUCGACUUGAGCGCCAGCGAGAGAGCGUUGCCGCAGGCAACGACCCGAAGUUUUGCCCGAUGGCACCGCGUUUACCGGACCUACAAUAUCCUCCC